GAAUUUGAAUACAUCUGGCAAGACAACUUCAAGUACAGAUGGACCCAAAUUCCCUGGAGAUAAAAGUUCAACAACACAAAAUAAUAACCAGCAGAAAAAAGGGAUCCAGGUGUUACCUGAUGGUCGGGUUACUAACAUUCCUCAAGGGAUGGUGACGGACCAAUUUGGAAUGAUUGGCCUGUUAACAUUUAUCAGGGCAGCAGAGACAGACCCAGGAAUGGUACAUCUUGCAUUAGGAAGUGACUUAACAACAUUAGGCCUCAAUCUGAACUCUCCUGAGUA
rnacentral:lncRNA from 1 species